CUUUGGAUCACUUAAGGCAGGCUUGAGCAGCCUCUUAAUAGGUUUGUUUUGCGGUUGGUUUAUUCCUCCGUUGGGGUGAGUAGACUUCACUUAGCUGCAUAGGGGAAGAAAGGCAGUUUGUAAGCCAAGCGGAGCAGCAAAUGUCAGAUCAGGCUGAAGGCUGCUGAAGUUUCCCACAGGCCCCAAACACCCUCUUGAACGACUUACUCUGCCGGUUUAGUGCAAGGGUGGUUUUCUUUCUCCCCCCUCAGCCGGACCUUUGGGAUCUGUUUUACUCACCUGGAAAGUUGCAUAAUCUUGACAAGCACAAAGCAAUUAAGAGAUUCCUAGCUCCUGCUGCUGCUGCUGCUGCUGCUGCUGCUGCUGCUGCUGCUUCUACUAUACACUGGUAGGUGGAAGAAGGGACACUGGCCUCUAGGAUUAAAGACUCUGCCUUCAUCGUGAUUGCCUUGGCACAGGCAGCAUGCUGCUACCCUGCUGGAGUGAAAGCAAAAGAUGCAGCGGAGUCUGGCAGGACCUGGACACCUUCAUAGAUUUAUAAGCUGGGGCCUAGAUGGAGGAGAAGACAAAGACAGAGAUGUGAAGCUGCAAAGGUGGCUUGGGCAGGAUGGUUGGGAAGGGAAGGGUUGGAACUUAGAGACAGUAUCUUUGACAUUGACUCUCUGACAUUUCAAUAAAAGAAUGGGAAAUCUGAGCCUUUCCCCAUGGUCUUUGACUCCGAAGCCUUUUAAGCUCUUCAAAAGGCAAGUUAACUUGGAGCUGGAAAGUGAACAGCUUUACCUGCUAGUAUUUUGUUGAAGUAACUUCUUCUAUUCGUCUAUCUAACUAUCGAUAGACAGACAGAUAGGACAGAUAUAGAUAGAUAGAUAGAUA
rnacentral:lncRNA from 10 species